UACGGGGGGGGGCAAGCGUUGUUCGGAAUUACUGGGCGUAAAGGGCUCGUAGGCGGCCCACUAAGUCAGAUGUGAAAUCCCCAGGCUCAACCUGGGAACUGCAUCUGAUACUGGUGGGCUUGAAUUCGGGAGAGGGAUGCAGAAUUCCAGGUGUAGCGGUGAAAUGCGUAGAUAUCUGGAGGAAUACCGGUGGCGAAGGCGGCAUCCUGGACCGACAUUGACGCUGAGGAGCGAAAGCUAGGGGAGCAAA
rnacentral:rRNA from 1 species